rnacentral:rRNA from 1 species
AGGGCACACGGUGGAUGCCUUGGCACAGAAAGUCGAUGAAGGACGUGACAAGCUGCGAUAAGCUACGGUGAGCUGCACAUAAGCUUUGACCCGUAGAUUUCCGAAUGGGGGAACCCAACUGAGGUCAUGCUCAGUUACUCUUGCCUGAACACAUAGGGCACUGAGAGGCAACCUGGGGAACUGAAACAUCUAAGUACCCAGAGGAAAAGAAAUCAACCGAGAUUGCGCUAGUAGCGGCGAGCGAACGCGCAAGAGCCUAAACCCAUGUAUGUGUAAGCAUUAGGGCGUUGCUGCAUGAGGUGUUGUGGGGCUAUCUCUUCUCUUAACCUAAUGUAUGAGACAUAGUUACAAAGUGUUGUUAUAGCAAAAUGAUUUGGAAAAGUCAGCCAGAGCGGGUAAAAGCCCCGUAUGUUAAAUAGCAGCACCUAUGAAGAUAGUUCCCGAGUAAUGCCGAACACGUGAAAUUCGGUAUGAAUCUAGGGAGACCACUCUCUAAGGCUAAAUACUCUUCUGUGACCGAUAGCGAACCAGUACCGUGAGGGAAAGGUGAAAAGUACCCCGAGAGGGGAGUGAAAUAGUACCUGAAACCGUGUGCCUACAAGCAGUUGGAGCCUCCUUGCGAGGUGACAGCGUGCCUUUUGUAGAAUGAGCCAGCGAGUUACGGUGUGCGGCAAGGUUAAGUUUUUAAACGAGCCGUAGUGAAAGCGAGCCUUUAAGAUGGCGUGUUAGUCGUAUGCCGUAGACGCGAAGCCGGGUGAUCUAUCCAUGGGCAGGCUGAAGCAGAGGUAAGACUCUGUGGAGGGCCGAACCCACUUCGGUUGAAAACGGAGGGGAUGACCUGUGGAUAGGGGUGAAAGGCCAAUCAAACCCGGAGAUAUCUCGUUCUCCCCGAAAUAGCUUUAGGGCUAGCCUCGAUCGCUUACCGACGGUGGUAGAGCACUGGAUCCGUGCGGGGGCCUCACCGCCUACCAACCGAAACCAAACUCCGAAUGCCGUCGGUCCCGAGAUCGGGAGUCAGAACAUGUGGGCUAAGCCGUGUGUUCGAGAGGGAAACAGCCCAGACCGCCUGCUAAGGUCCCCAAAUCAACGCUGAGUGGCAAAGGAUGUGCGUUUGCCUAGACAACCAGGAUGUUGGCUUAGAAGCAGCCAUGCAUUUAAAGAGUGCGUAACAGCUCACUGGUCAAGUGGACAUGCGCCGACAAUACACGGGGCUAAGCGUUGUACCGAAGCAGCGGACUGUUUUAUCAGUGGUAGGGGAGCUUUCCAUGCCGGGGCGAAGCCGACGGGCGACCGUCGGUGGACCGCAUGGAAGUGAGAAUGCUGGCAUGAGUAACGAGAGAGGGGCGAGAAACCCCUCCGCCGUAAGCCUAAGGGUUCCUGGGCAAGGCUAAUCCCCCCAGGGUCAGUCGGGAGCUAAGGCGAGGCCGACAGGCGUAGCCGAUGCACAACAGGCGGACAUUCCUGUACCACCGCGGAGCGUUACUACGACGGGGUGACGGAGAAGGGUAGCCGGGCGGGGUUCUGGACGUCCCCGUGAAAGCGCGUAGGCCGCAGGGCAGGCAAAUCCGCCCUGCAGCGAGGCCGAGACGUUAGACGAAGCUUCAUGUGAAGCCGGCGAGCCCAUGCUUCCGAGAAAAACCUCUAAGGAGCGAGGCGGUGCCCGUACCAAAACCGACACAGGUAGGCGGGUAGAGCAUACCAAGGCGAUCGGGAGAACCAUGGUUAAGGAACUCGGCAUACUGACUCCGUAACUUCGGGAGAAGGAGUGCCCCCGCCUGUGAGGUCCCACGCGGACGGAGCGGGAGGGGGUCGCAGCGAAACGGCCCAAGCGACUGUUUACCAAAAACACAGGACUCUGCAAAGCCGCAAGGCGACGUAUAGGGUCUGACGCCUGCCCGGUGCUGGAAGGUUACGCGGAUGAGUUAGCGCAAGCGAAGCCCUGAAGCCAAGCCCCAGUAAACGGCGGCCGUAACUAUAACGGUCCUAAGGUAGCGAAAUUCCUUGUCGGGUAAGUUCCGACCUGCACGAAUGGCGUAACGACUUGGGCGCUGUCUCAACCAUGGACCCGGUGAAAUUGUAUUAUUCGUGAAGAUGCGAAUUACCUGCGGAAGGACGGAAAGACCCCGUGAACCUUUACUGCAGCUUGGCAUUGGCUGUUGGUGCGGUGCGUAGAGGAUAGGCAGGAGCCUGCGAACCGGGAACGCCAGUUCCCGGGGAGGCGCCCUUGGAAUACUGCCCUCACCGCAUCGGCAGCCUAACGCGCCGCCCUCAUCGGGGGCGCGGACCGUGCCAGGUGGGUAGUUUGACUGGGGCGGUCGCCUCCUAAACUGUAACGGAGGCGUGCGAAGGUUCGCUCAGGGCGGUUGGCAAUCGCCCGCAGAGCACAAGAGUACAAGCGAGCCUGACUGCGAGACCAACAAGUCGAGCAGAGACGAAAGUCGGUUCUAGUGAUCCGGCGGCCCAGCGUGGAAUGGCCGUCGCUCAACGGAUAAAAGGUACUCCGGGGAUAACAGGCUGAUCUUGC